rnacentral:lncRNA from 1 species
CGGACUGUCACUCCCGACUCACAGGCUAAUGACCCUGCAAUCCCGGCUGCGCACAGACAGCAGCAGGGGGAUGUCUUAUCUUCCUACUGGCUGGAGACUGAGGCAAUCUCGGGCACAGUGCAGUUCGCCAGCUACUUUACCUGCACUGCCUCUUUCCCCUCCUCAGUAGUUUCUCAUGGGCGGGGACCAAGUCUUCCUUCGUUUUCCAGAGCCAUAGAUAGGAGUAGCUUUGAUACUUGUUCUCAUCGUGUGGUCCUGGGGAAGUUACUCAGCUACUUAGAGCCGUUUCUUCAGUGUCCUGACCUUUGCAGAGUCUGCAAAUGCAAGAACUUCCCACGUCCAGUUGGCUCUCAAGAACCGCGAUGCUUGGAAAAGGAUUCCAGCCCCUACAGAUGAGUCCCCGGGGCUGUGGGGCGGGGCAGGACCCUGUCCUUCACCCCGCCCGUCCUAGGCACCGCUGAGUCCUUGCAUCAGGUGGCCACAUCACCCUCAUUUUGCCGGGUAAGGAAGCUGAGACUCAGCAUCUCGGGAGGAGACUUGGCCCGACCAUGCAAAGCUGCCAAGUAGAGGGGCCCACACUUGAAUUCAGGGGUCUGCACCUGAGGGUGAGACUGCAUUUCCGGUCCUAAGGGAAGCCCACAGGAAAGGCUUCCCUUCACAACAGAAAGCCGGAAGGAAAUGAACUUAGCUCCUGGGGCAGUGCCGCAGAGAGACUUCAUCCCUACAGCACCACAUCCGGGCUUUCUCUGCCCUCCAGGACGGGCUCUGUGCGCCUCACCUGUCAGAACAAACCCUGGACCCACCAUGGGGGAGGACUUUGGUUUGUCACAGCUGCUUAAGAGUGAACACAGCACGUGAUUGCUCCUUGGAGGCCUGGCCCUGGGACAGGUGUGCGCUUCAGCCACAGGAUAUCCUCCCUGUAGCCGCUGUGGGUCAGCAGUCAGUACUUACGUUUUCAGGAAUCGUCUUGUUGAAGAGUCAUUAUUAAAAAUCAAAUCAAAACAUUUUUUAAUCAUAUUAAAAACAAAGGUAAUAAAACAUCAAAGCCCAUCGCAGCCUAGACAAUUCUCUGUUAGUCCUGGCUCUUUUGGGACGGGUACCUAUUGCCUUUCUGAAGCCAUUACAUGUGAGCAGCAUAAGAAUUUGAGGAAGGGGAGGGACUGGCAGAUGAGCAGCCAUCUGGGAUCAGGGAACAAGGAACAAGGUGCGUUUGGUCAUGGGGACCACAGUCACCCAAGCUUGUCAGAAAAG